GCGGGGCGGGGCGCUGGAAGUUGAUUCCUGUGAUUCAUCCUGGUCGCUUCUUAAACGACGAGAAUUCCCACGUCUGAUGCAAUUUAGAGACUGCUCUAUUUAUCUUUACAUUCUCCAAAACUACCCAGGAGGCGUCUCUCGGAAUCCUCGUGCCUGCUUUGCCGCAGGAAUCUCAGCCUUCCAGGGAUGCAGAAGACGCGAGCAAUUCAUAUGUGCACAGCUCAGGCUGGGUUGCUGGACAUUGAGGAUCAUGAUCUGAUUUCUUUCCUUUUUAUUAUUUUAUUUUAUUAUUAUUAUUAUUUAUACUGGGG
rnacentral:lncRNA from 1 species